AGAGGGAGCGAUUGUGAGGCAAACACAGCAAGACCAGGGUUAUCGUGUGGAUCGCACACAGAAAGAGCGCGCUAACGGGCGAGACACGUUUUAAGUGAAUCCGCAAAAUAGAUUUUUGCAUAAUCUUUUUAUCGUAAUUCAGGAAUAAGCACCAGGCUCUUUGAUCUGACUUGGAGACAACAAUGAUGCUUUUAACAGGACGGAAAUGGAAAAGGUCUCCAUUUUUGUCUUGUUUUUUUUUAAUUCAGGAUUUGUAUUCAUUUCAUGGGAUACUUUCCAAGCCUGUAUGCUGAUUGCCAAAAACGGUUUGUCUUGUUUAAGUCUCCAUUUUGAUUGCCCAUCAUUUUGGUGGAUGGACGCCGCAGCCUCGGACACACUGGGCAAAGGUUGGACAUCCAAGAGCAAGGAUGCACCAUUCUGAAGAAUGGAACAUAGUUGAUUGCAGCUUUACCAACGAGAGCUUCUGAGCCAGGCCACCAGGUCCAGGAAUUCCACAGGCAGGCUUGAAACAAUCCAUCCAUUUUAAUGCUCUUUAUUUCCGGACCGUGGGGCAAAGCUGGAGAAAAACCCAACAUCAGGCAAACUUGCAACAGAAAGACCAAAAUGAUGUGCUUCUUGAUGUGAGGUAAGAGCAUGACUGGGGAACCAGGCAGCCAGCAGCAGAGCAGUAGAGCGCCAUUUCCCCGCCAUAGGCCACAGACUCAUCUUCUCCUCGCUCCUCCCACUGCUCCACAACCCCCCCCCCCCCCCCCCGCACCCCCACCUCACGAUCCAGAGCUGCUCGAGGACAAGAGGGAGACGCAGAUCCCAAUUGACCACCGUUGAGCUACUUUUGGAUCAUCAAAGUGUAACACAAAGGGUCACGGGUGAGCCGGAACAUAUGCCAGCUGACUUCAGGCGAAAGGCAGACGACACCAAGGACUGCACAACCACUCAUUUACAUAUUGACACUGUCAUUGGGGAAGGAAGUGAAGUCAUGCUGCCAGCACCAAACUAAGAUGAGUGGACCACUUAUACCAUUAGAUGUCCCAAUUUGCCUGCCAGGUGGGGCGAGGGAGAUCUCGGAGUACCGCUGUUCUGAGCUUGACCCCAUGCCUCAAUUACGUGUCAUUAGUGAGACUUUCAGAGAAGCUGGCCAGACUGAGACCUGACAGCCCCUUCUCGGAUAUUUAGCCAUGCAUAUGGAUGGAUUUCUGAUCCCUCUCAUCCACCACCGAGGACGAGGGAAUUAGGCCAGUGAGGAGGAGAGUAGGGGGCUUAAAGGGGAGCAUCCAUAUCCGACUUUCAUGGCAACGAUGGAGCUAUUACGCCCGCGAAGGGCCAAUGGUCAUGCUUGGCUGCCUGCUUGUUUGUCUGUUGUUCUGUUGCACAGGUGAUCAACACUACGAGAUGGGGGGGGGGGGGGGGGGGGGUCACGUUUGAUGACCUUUUUGGGUCGUGCGUGAAACUAGAUUAGACGCUGCCCUGAAGAACUGUGUUUUUAAUUCCACGCAGUCAUACAAUGUGUACUCAUGACGGCAUAUUAAAAUGUGCAUUCCUCACU